ACUGAUGAAACGACAACAUAAGCCUACGCAAAAAAUUAUACCUACCUUGCAGGAACUGAACUCGCAUAUUCAUACGAUUGGAAGACGCGCAAAAGAAUACACCUUCAAUCACGUAUCGCCUUACACACAACAAGAAUACUUUCAGCUUUGCUACCUUGCCAUGUUUAACUUGGGAUAGAAGACUGUUCACAGAAAUAAGCUAAUGAUCAUUUUUUCAACAAACGCAAUAAUAGCCUAUACUGCGAUGCAUUAUUGAUGGCUGAACGAGAGAUAGCCAAUGUCUUCUAAAGAUCGAAUCAUGUGCAGAUUCAAAACUAUGCAUUGCUAAAGGCUAUGCAGUAUC